rnacentral:tRNA from 1 species
UGAGGUGUAGCUCAGUGGUAGAGCACUUGCCUAGCAUGCAUGAGGCACUAGGUUUGAUGCCUAGCAUUGUAA